rnacentral:sRNA from 10 species
AGGUAACCGACUAGUGACCAACUGCAGACGGAAAAAUCUAGAGAGAAGCCAGAAGAAGAGACCGAAGGGUGAAAGCAUUUACAAGAGUCGAUGAGAAAAAAUAGCUUGUAAAUCCACCAAGAAUUCAAGAGAAAGAAUUCAAGGAGCUAAAGAAAAUCUCACUUUAGACCCCUGAGGAAUCGAACUAAGAAAA